GCAGCAGCGGUUAAACAUAACAUAAAAUAAUAUUAUUUAGAUAAUUAAAUUUUAAUAUAUGAAAAUUAAAUGUGAAAAUUUAUAAUUUAAUUAGUAAAAUUAAGAAUUUUAUAAAGAAAAACCAGGAUUAGAUACCCUGUUAUUUUAUAACAAUAAAUAUUCUAUGAUUGGAUCAUAAAAAUUUGACGGUAGUAAUAUUUAUAAAGGAGUUUGUUUUUUAAUAGAUAAUUCACAAUUAACCUUACUUAAAAGUAAUUUGUAUAUCACCGUAAUGAUUAUAUUUUAAUAAUUUUCAAGAAGAAAUAUUUCAUAAUAUCAGGUCAAGGUGCAAUUUUUUUAAGAUAAAAUGAACUACAAUUAUAAAUUAUAAUCAGAUUAUUUUUUGAAACAAAUAUAUGAAGAUGGAUUUAUUAGUAAAUGUAAAUAGAAUAUUAUGUUGAAAUUAAUUAUUACUAUGUACAUAUCG
rnacentral:rRNA from 1 species